rnacentral:rRNA from 1 species
UGGGGAAUAUUGCACAAUGGGCGCAAGCCUGAUGCAGCCAUGCCGCGUGUAUGAAGAAGGCCUGCGGGUUGUAAAGUACUUUCAGCGGGGAGGAAGGGAGUAAAGUUAAUACCUUUGCUCAUUGACGUUACCCGCAGAAGAAGCACCGGCUAACUCCGUGCCAGCAGCCGCGGUAAUACGGAGGGUGCAAGCGUUAAUCGGAAUUACUGGGCGUAAAGCGCACGCAGGCGGUUUGUUAAGUCAGAUGUGAAAUCCCCGGGCUCAACCUGGGAACUGCAUCUGAUACUGGCAAGCUUGAGUCUCGUAGAGGGGGGUAGAAUUCCAGGUGUAGCGGUGAAAUGCGUAGAGAUCUGGAGGAAUACCGGUGGCGAAGGCGGCCCCCUGGACGAAGACUGACGCUCAGGUGCGAAAGCGUGGGGAGCAAACAGG